UCACGGAAAGCAGCGCGCAAGAGUCAAAUAUUUUUUCCUAAUAUUCCUCGUUGAAAUAUUCCUCGACAGAUAUCGCCGGUGACAGUUAGAGUUAUUGUGAGACGCGCCGCCCUCGAUCUGCCCGUUAAUAACUGGUAAUAAAUCCCCUGUUGGGUUAUUCAGGGGGUGUGGAGGGCGAGGAGGGAGAGGAAAACCAGAGGCUCGGAAUCAGCUGAUGGUGAAUGGAGGAAGAAGAUCAUUGUUUUGAUGCUGAUUUCGAGGCAAAUGCCGCUGGUUUGGUGGUGAUUUUUAAGGAACUGCAGGCUCUCUGAAUAAUAGUUAACAGCCCAGCGUAGCUAAAGAUCGGAUGCUGGCUGAGGAAAACUUGUCUGCGAUAAACUCUAGGGU